UACGGAGGGGGCUAGCGUUGUUCGGAAUUACUGGGCGUAAAGCGCGCGUAGGCGGACCUGCAAGUCAGGGGUGAAAUCCUGGAGCUCAACUCCAGAACUGCCUUUGAUACUGAAGAUCUUGAGUCCGGGAGAGGUGAGUGGAACUGCGAGUGUAGAGGUGAAAUUCGUAGAUAUUCGCAAGAACACCAGUGGCGAAGGCGGCUCACUGGCCCGGUACUGACGCUGAGGCACGAAAGCGUGGGGAGCAAACAGG
rnacentral:rRNA from 1 species